AUUGAACGCUGGCGGCAGGCUUAACACAUGCAAGUCGAACGGCAGCACAGAAGAGCUUGCUCUUUGGGUGGCGAGUGGCGGACGGGUGAGUAAUGUCUGGGAAACUGCCCGAUGGAGGGGGAUAACUACUGGAAACGGUAGCUAAUACCGCAUAACGUCGCAAGACCAAAGUGGGGGACCUUCGGGCCUCACACCAUCGGAUGUGCCCAGAUGGGAUUAGCUAGUAGGUGGGGUAAUGGCUCACCUAGGCGACGAUCACUAGCUGGUCUGAGGGGAUGACCAGCCACACUGGAACUGAGACACGGUCCAGACUCCUACGGGAGGCAGCAGUGGGGAAUAUUGCACAAUGGGCGCAAGCCUGAUGCAGCCAUGCCGCGUGUAUGAAGAAGGCCUUCGGGUUGUAAAGUACUUUCAGCGGGGAGGAAGGCGGUGAGGUUAAUAACCGCGCCGAUUGACGUUACCCGCAGAAGAAGCACCGGCUAACUCCGUGCCAGCCGCCGCAGUAA
rnacentral:rRNA from 1 species